GCUCACCCCAUAGCAGUGCCUGACCCCAUAGCAGUGCUGCAGUCACCCCAUAGCAGCACUGUGUUCACCCCAUAGCAGCGCUGUGCUCACCCCAUAGCAGCGCUGUGCUCACCCCAUAGCAGCGCUGUGCUCACCCCAUAGCAGCGCUGCACACCGCCGCUGACGCACCGACCGCUGCCUUUUGUAUCCAUGGUUUUAUACAAUAAACAGCUCCGAUGUGGG
rnacentral:lncRNA from 7 species